ACCAACUUAUUUACACAAAUGCCCUCCUUGCAAAUUACAAUCCUCUCCCUGUUGCUGGUCACUGGUGAGUUCUAGAAGGGCAGGUACAUUUUCUGGUUUCUCUUCAAAUUAGCCUUCUCUCUUCAAUUCUCUUCAACCCUGCUUCUUUUACGCUUCUUCUUCUGGAUCUGUGGUAAACAAUUCUUCGUAGUCCAGGCUUGAGGUGAGUUUCUCCUUCUUUCACUCCUUUGUAUACUUACUAUUUUAGUCCUUCCUUUUCUCCUCUCAGCUAACAAGUGUAUACUCCAUGUUCUUUUUCUCAAUUACAACACAAGAAUCACAAAAUAAAACUGCAUAAGAAAUCAAGAAGUCAAGAAAUCAUCCAGUUUCGCAAAGCCUAGAACGACUUCCACAAAUGGGUUUUUUUCAAAUCGUAUAGAGGGCUUUAAAGUUGUAGCGAUUUACGGAGGUAGGAGGUUUAGGGUUCUUCAGGUCAGUCUUCAUAUGCGUCUUCCUUUUAAUUCAUGGCCUUGGUUUUAUUCUUUGAUUACUGUCUUUGGUUUUUUUUUUUUUUUUUUUCUGCUUCUUUUUUGCCAGUUGAUUUGUGUCUUUUGAGUUUUGAAUUUCAUAUGUGGUGGUCUUACGUUUGUUUAUUAUUGAAUCAACAUCAUGCAUGAAAUGGUUGCUUUUAUUUGAAUACACAAUGAUUAGACACAUUGGGACGUUAUUUAACAAAUGAAUGUUGAUGUUUUAUGAGUGUUUGCUUUAAAAUUAGGACUUCGAUUUGCCAUACAUCACCUAUCUUUAUAUUUCUUGAAUGCACUAGUUAAUUAUAAAAAAAAUUGUGAUAUUUACUUAUCAACUCGAUCUUGAUUGGAGAAUUUUACAAAACUUGAUAAUCGUUCGUGAUAUUUACUUAUCAACUCGAUCUUGAUUGGAGAAUUUUACAAAACUUGAUAAUCGUUCAUUUGACUUUCUUUAUACAUUUUUAUAUCGAAUUGUUCCAAUAAACAUAUUAAAUAAACCAUCACUAGUGCUCUAGUGGUGGCCACGGGUAUUUAAGUUUCACCUAUGGUGGGCCUGUAUGAGUUUUUCUAUCCAGGUCUUAAGUUCGAGUCUGGUGAUAGGGGUUUCUCAUUGAGUGAGUUUAAAUUGGAAUCUAUUGUGCGAGUGGGCUCUCUAGCACGAACCAGGUAAAGACAACGUAUGCUAGACCUUUCGAUAUUCAUGAAUAAUUCACACCUUUAAAAAAACUAAAUAUAUUAAAUAAAAUAAGAUCGGAAACUCUUCGAUAACUGACUGGUAAAUUUAUUUAAUCAUUUUCCUUUCAUUUUGUACUCAAGAAGUUAAAAUAGUCAAACCACAUGGACUUAAAAAGACUUUACUCUAUAUUUUAUUUAUGAGAUAAAUAAAAAGGGUAGAUGAAAAAAUUUGUUUAAUAGAUAAAUAAUACAUAUACAAUAUCCGAGGUGGUAUUUGUGUGACACCCCGUGAAAAUGUUUAAACAUACUAGCUUGUCAGUGGCUGUGUGUAAAUUUUGGGACGAAGUUCCUUGAAACUUGGGGAUAAUAUGACACUUUGGGUUCUCCCACACAAUUUUAUUGUACAUUAUGAUUAUGAUUUUGUGAAUUUAGUAAAUGAAAUCUGACUGACAGCUAUGUGGUUAACGUGUAAAUUAUUAUCAUUGUUACCAUUAUUAUAUUUUUGGUUAGGAUUGAAAUGAACAAGAAAUAUUAAUUAUGUAUAAGACUUGACCGCACACUCCCUUGUAGUGGUGCACAAAAAACCUGAACCCGGACUUGGAUCCGGAAAAAAAACCCGGAACCGGGUAUUAUAAAAACCGGGUUUUCUAUACCCGAACCCGAACUCGACCCUACCCAUAGGGUAGGGACCGGGUAUGCAUAUUUGAUCUAAAACCCGAACCCGGAACCGGGUUUUUUUAUACCCGGUUUAUACCCGAAACUCGGUUUUUAUAAUACCCGAAACCCGGUUUUUAUAAUACCCGAAACCCGGUUUUUAUACCCGAAUAUAUAGCUGACAUGCAAAAUGCAUAACACAAUUUUAUUAAUUUGAUUACUGGCUUCAGUCAACCGAAUUUAAUGCACAACUAAUAUACACAACAACUAAAAAGAAUUUUAAUACACACACCUAUCAUCUACAGCAGAGUUGUUUCACCAAGUUUUGAAGACAUUUAAUGUUGUGGUUGAAUAUUUACUGCAAAAUUUUAAUGCACUACUAAUAUACACAACAACUAAAAAGAAUUGGUUAUAUUAUUGUUUCUAUUUAGCAAGAACUUGAACGAACCAACAAACAAAACAAUCAGAAAACACAACUCAAAAAUGGCAUCGCAAAGUGCUACGUCUUCCGUUGGCGUAGGUUCUACGGCUACCAACGCAAGCAUCGUGUGACAAUGCUAAACGAGCUCGUGGUAACACCCCAAGUAGCGAGUUCGGGAGAUAUAUUGCAUCGGAUUUUUUAGCAUUCGUCACUUCCGAAUAAGAAUUUGAUAAUUUCGACAUUUUGCCUUGGUGGAAAGAAAAGGAACCCCAAUUUCCGGUUCUAGCCGCAAUGGCCCGUGAUCUACUAAGUGUCCAAGCUUCCACGGUAGCUUCGGAGUCCGCCUUUUCUUUUAGUGGCCGAGUCAUUUCAUUAAGGAGGAAGAAGCUUAGUCCCGAGUCGGUUGAAAUGUGUAUUUGCUUGAAGGACUAUUUGGAUGCGGCGGAGCGGAUUCAACAUGUGGAGUCACUUGAAGAUGAAAAUGGUGUUGAAACGGAUAUACACGAGGAAGAGGUCGAAAUGGGAAUGUCAAGCCCACUAGAAGAAGACUAAACGAAGACGAUCAAAAAACGAAGACGACGAAAAAGUAUGCACUUUGAUGUAAUCUUGUUUAAUUAUUAGGUUUCUAAUAAUAUUUGCCAACGCUACUUAAUUAUUUAGUAUAUUUCAUUACAAGUAUGCACUUUGUGCCUCUGUUUAUAAAGUUCAAGGGGUAUAUAA